AGCUCUAGAAAUAUAAAUAAACAUUAAAAGUGGUGAACUGAGGUGUAAAGAUUACACUUAUUGGUUAAUUCGAAUUAGUUUUUUUUAGUAAUGUUCGUCACUCUGUGUGUAUGCAGAAGGAAGGUGAAAAUAGAGGAAAUGACAGUUUCACUUUUAAUUGCAUUGACAUCCAUACAAAUUAAAAUGAAAUUUAAAAGAAAUAAAUUUAACAAAAUUUAAUAAAACAAUAACAAAAAAAGUUGUAGAAAAGCAAUAUGCUGACAAGUGAGCGGUUUUAUGCAAUAUGUGUGUGCGUUUAUGUUUAAAAAUAACCUUGUGUGCCUCGGCUUAUUGGAACCACUGAUGUAAAUGGAACGUUUUGCUGGAAGAGCUGCUGUCGUUGUUAUUUAUGAAAGAAAUUUAAAAUAAUAAUAUCGGCAAAUUUAAUAAACCAUUAAUAAAUAAAAUAGUAAGAGAGCGCUUGACAGAAAAGUGGGCAACAUUCUAUAUACAUAUGUAGCAUUUGUGCUUACAAAAAUACUGAUGUUCUUUGACUAACCUAGUAUAUAAAGGCAGCAAGUACGCGUCCAUGUCCAUAUUUGAAUGUACAUAAGUAUGUACACACAUAUGCUUAUUGAAGUGUUGCGCGAAAUUGGUAAAAAGUAUAGACAAUUCAUAGCAAGUACUUAUGGUCAGACAUGCACACUUGUAAACAUUUAAAAAAGAGAACAAAAAUCAUUGCAUUUAUUAAAAAAAAUACAAACUUUUUUGUUAACGAUUACUUUGGUGUUUAAUUGCUGAUUUUUUAUAUGUGCGUUCAUAUGCAAGUGUUUAUUGUGUGCGCUUAUCGCCGCGUUGCAAUGGGAAAUGUCAAGUGGCUAUUAAAAUGUCGGACUGAAUGAAAAUUAAUUGGAUUUCUAUGAACUAUCCACUUCGAUGCCACUUACUGCUUUUUCACCAUUUUUCAAGACAGCUACAAGCAGAUAAUCACCAUUCGGCACAUCCUUCACAAGCAAAUCGGUAUCAAGUACAUAGUCCUUAUAGGUUUUUUCUAGUAUGAAUUUACUGCGUUUUCGUACAAUCGAAGUGGCAUAUAUAUAUUUACAGUUACGAGUAUAAUAAACACAAAUAAUUCAAAAAACCUACCUUAGGGAAUGGACACUCAAACUCUUUUGGCAAAUUAGAUG